rnacentral:rRNA from 1 species
GACGGAAGGUGCAAGCGUUGCUCGGAAUCACUGGGCGUAAAGGGUGCGUAGGCGGCCGCGCAAGUCUGGCGUGAAAGCCCCGGGCUCAGCCCGGGAAGGGCGCUCGAAACGGCGCGGCUCGAGUGCCGGAGGGGAGAGUGGAAUUCCUGGUGUAGCGGUGAAAUGCGUAGAUAUCAGGAGGAACACCGGUGGCGAAGGCGGUUCUCUGGGCCUGUACUGACGCUGAGGAACGAAAGCGUGGGGAGCGAACAGG